rnacentral:rRNA from 1 species
CACGUAGGCGGGACUUUAAGUCAGGUGUGAAAGACCGAGGCUCAACUUCGGGGUUGCACAUGAAACUGGAGUUCUUGAGGGCAGGAGAGGAAAGUGGAAUUCCUGGUGUAGCGGUGAAAUGCGUAGAAAUCAGGAGGAACACCGGUGGCGAAGGCGACUUUCUGGACUGACCCUGACGCUGAGGUGCGAAAGCGUGGGUAGCAAACA